rnacentral:rRNA from 1 species
UACGAAGGGGGCUAGCGUUGUUCGGAAUUACUGGGCGUAAAGCGCACGUAGGCGGAUAUUUAAGUGAGGGGUGAAAUCCCAGGGCUCAACCCUGGAACUGCCUCUCAUACUGGGUAUCUCGAGUUCGAGAGAGGUGAGUGGAAUUGCGAGUGUAGAGGUGAAAUUCGUAGAUAUUCGCAAGAACACCAGUGGCGAAGGCGGCUUACUGGUCCGGAACUGACGCUGAGGUGCGAAAGCGUGGGGAGCAAACAGG